CAGGCCCAGCAAGUGCAAAGGCCCGGAGGUGGGAAGCGAUGCAGAUAUGGCUGGAGGGGAGGGCGGACUUCAAGGGCCUUGGAGGUUGGGAGCCACUUUCAGGCUGAGCCUCCCGGCUUCUCUCCCCAGCAUCCCGGCGGCGCAGGCGCAGAGGACAGCGAGCUGCAGGCCUACAUCGCACAGUGCCAGGACAGCCCCACCUCCGGCAAGUUCCGCCGCGGGAGCGGCUCGGCCUGCAGCCUUCUCUGCUGUUGCGGAAGGGACCCCUCGGAGGAGCAUUCGCUGCUGGUGAAUUGAUUCGACCUGACUGCCGUUGGACCGUAGGCCCUGGACUGCAGAGACCCCCGCCCCCGACCCCGCUUAUUUAUUUUUAGGGUUUGCUUUUAAGGAUCGGCUCCCUGUCGCGCCCGAGGAGGGCCUGGACCUUUCGUGUCGGACCCUUGGGGGCGGGGAGACUGGGUGGGGAGGGUGUUGAAUAAAAGGGAAAAUAAA
rnacentral:sRNA from 1 species